AGCGAACGCUGGCGGCAGGCCUAACACAUGCAAGUCGAGCGCCGUAGCAAUACGGAGCGGCAGACGGGAGAGUAACACGUGGGAACGUACCCUUUGGUUCGGAACAACCCAGGGAAACUUGGGCUAAUACCGGAUAAGCCCUUACGGGGAAAGAUUUAUCGCCGAAGGAUCGGCCCGCGUCUGAUUAGCUAGUUGGUGGGGUAACGGCCCACCAAGGCGACGAUCAGUAGCUGGUCUGAGAGGAUGAUCAGCCUCACUGGGACUGAGACACGGCCCAGACUCCUACGGGAGGCAGCAGUGGGGAAUAUUGGACAAUGGGCGCAAGCCUGAUCCAGCCAUGCCGCGUGGGUGAUGAAGGCCCUAGGGUUGUAAAGCCCUUUCGGCGGGGAAGAUAAUGACGGUACCCGCAGAAGAAGCCCCGGCUAACUUCGUGCCAGCCGCCGCCGUAAGAC
rnacentral:rRNA from 1 species